UACAGAGGGGGCUAGCGUUGCUCGGAAUCAUUGGGCGUAAAGCGCACGUAGGCGGCUUCGCAAGUCGGAUGUGAAAUCCCUCGGCUCAACCGAGGACGUGCAUCCGAAACUGCGGAGCUUGAGUAUGGAAGAGGGUCGCGGAAUUCCCGGUGUAGAGGUGAAAUUCGUAGAUAUCGGGAGGAACACCAGUGGCGAAGGCGGCGACCUGGGCCAAUACUGACGCUGAGGUGCGAAAGCGUGGGGAGCAAACAGG
rnacentral:rRNA from 1 species